UAAGGUUUUAGUCAAAGAAUGUUAAGGAUUAGGGAUUGCAUCCAAAGUAUCCGUUAUUUUCAAUAUAAAAAAAGCAUAUAUAUACAAGUGUCGAUCACUGCAAUCACAUCCCAAGUUAGGCAGAUCGAACCAUGAAUGUCGAUCAUCCACAGCUUCAAAAUAAAACGGCUCAUAAUAUUAAUGGAGACCUUCAUCUGACAUUUGCCUAACUCAUUAUUUCUUAUGGUCAUCCUGCCUUCUUGACCAACCAGUCCUUGCCAUAUGUAUGUUUCUAUCACUACCGCAUGCUGCAACAAAGGAAACAGGACCCACGUAAACAGUCAAACCCUAGCUGAUUGAUUGAGACGAACCAGUUUCAUUAUUGCUGUUCUUUCCUGGUCGUAAUUAGGGCAAUAAUUUCGAAAGAGAGGGUUAGACAUUUGGGAAUAUACCUAAUUCGUGGUUGGCUUGUGAUCGGGUACGGCAGUGUCUGUCUAUUUCAUUCUUGUCACAUACGUGGCAUGACGUGGACACGGUUGAUUGGUCCAUUUUUUGAGGUGACCUACAUGAUUGAAAUUCCUCAGACAAGCUAAGGGCAUACAUGUCCAGUCGUGGUUGGAAGUUUGCAAUUGUUUCCUUAAAAGGAGGUCAGUCUUGCUAUAAUUGUGCAAAAGGGGGAAGUCAGGGCGUGCAUGCGCAUUCCAUACGCACAUGGAGAUUUUUAUUUUUAUUUUUUUGUGAAGAGAAAAUAUUAAUACUAAAACCUAUGGGAAAAAUAAUAAUUCCGAGACUUACUUAAAAAAUAAUGAUCCAAUAAUGGGAAAUGUUCUUGAACCUCAACGUAGUGAUAUUUCCGUCAUUUCUCACUUAUUUUGUUCGUUAGAAAAAACCGCAAGCUAACUAUUUUGAAGUGUUAAUAACAUAUAAUUUUCAAAUUAUAUAAUCUAAAGUCCGUUGGAUCCAUCUCAUUAGCCAACUUUAGAAGUAAAACAAAAAUAUUUAUGUUGUAGGCCUAAAUUUAAUUGGAUGAGAGAGAAGGGUGCGGAGAGAGAAAAGACAGGUUGUGUCAUAUUUCUCAUACUUUGUGCCUUUAUUUAUAAUAAAUAUAACGAGCUUACUUGCCCACAAGUAAGAAAGCCUAGAUCUUCUAGAUUACAGAGGAAUCAUCUACUAGGAUUUACCAAAUUACACAUGUGUUAUAAUUCUAAAUAAACAACAAUUUAUGCCUUUUGAGUUGAUUAAUUUUUUUUCUUUCAAACAAACGAUAAUCUCUACACUAAGGGAGUUGGGGCGUGGCUAAGCCUCACAAUAACCUAGCAAUAAUGUGGUUCAAAUUCGCCUUUGACGAGAAUCGAACCUAAGACCUCUCACUUACAAAUGAAGAUGAAUAUUACUAGAUCGUAGUACUAAGUGGCUUAAGUUGAUUAACUUUUAAAUUGACAAAGAAUGCUAGUUAACUUAAAGUCCCCAACAUGAAUGAUCAAAGAAUUACAGAAAUCCAGGUGCGCACCAGAGUCAAGCUCCAUUAACUUAAGGAAAGGGAUAGGUGCGAUGGCAAAGAGAGAGAGAAAGAGAAAAGAGAGUGUAAGAAAUUUUUUUGCGUCUUAUUUCUUCUUACUUUAUGCCUUUAUUUACAGCAAACAUAAUGGGCGUACUUGUCUUACAAGUAAGACAAGUAAAACUCAUAGACUCAAUCUACUAGGAUUUACACAAUUAUACAUGUCUUAUAUUUUAACUGCAACAAGUUAAGCCUUUUAAGUUGAUUAAGUUUUAAAUUGACAAAGAAUGGGAGUUAAUUUAGAGUCGCCCAAUAACAUGAGUGAUCAAAGAACUACAGAAAUACACGUGCGCACCAGAGUCAAACUCCAUUAAUAACCGAUUCGUUUUGGGUAGACAACAUGACAAAAUAUUUAUCAAGAGAUUUUAGCUGAUUUGAUUUCACCCUUAGAAUGACCACAAUAUUUGACCCAGUCAUAACUUAAAAUAUGGUGAUUAAUAGUUAAGAAACAAAUAAGUCAAUGCGAAAUACUGAAUUGCCUCUAAAUUAUGUCAAAAUGGAGAAUUUGUUCGAAAUUGUAGACUUUUUGCAAGUAUUUAGUGAUUACUAUGAAAUAUGUGAUCGUAUUAAAUUAAUAUACAUUGCAUAUCACUUGUACAAAUUAAGCAUUAUUCAAGAUUUUUAUGAAAUAAAGUCAAAUCAGAAUUCAAAAAGCAGCAUUUGAAACUUUCAUUUGAUUUAACCAUAAAGGAAAAAACAACAAACGUUAUAGGUUCAUAGAGUUGAAAUUGCACUAAUCUUCUUAAAAGAGAGGACAAAUUAGCUUAGAUAUAUUAAUAAAUUCAUUCAUAACUUUCUUUCACCUAACCACUAACCACUAAUGGCUUUAAUCACUUCAGCUUUUACAUGUAUCACCCUUAAUUGCAACAAGUUGAAACUUUGAUUAAUUAUUGUGGUCAAUAUAUAAGGGUGCUUAGAGAGAACAUAAUUUUAGCUCAUUACGAAGUUUGUGAAUUAACGUUGAUCAUAUUUUACACAAGGAUGGUGCUAUUGACACACUCACUUUUACCUCUCAUAUACUUUUGUUAAUUUUUUCUAUUAAUCUUCUUCAAUUCAUUCUAUUCAACAACUGAAAACUGAAAGAAGUGUGUGAGAAGUAAAAAUAAGUGUGUGGAUAACACCACCUUUUACACAAUCUCGUAAAUUAGGGCGAAAAGAAUUUAGAAUGUCGUCCAACUCUAAGAACACUACUACCGCGAGACAAAGAGUUAGUUGGUAAACAAAUUAGGAUUUAGAGCACAAAUAAUUAAGGGUGG
rnacentral:lncRNA from 1 species